rnacentral:rRNA from 1 species
AUGGCGACCGGCGCACGGGUGAGUAACACGUAUCCAACCUGCCGAUGACUCGGGGAUAGCCUUUCGAAAGAAAGAUUAAUACCCGAUGGCAUAGUUCUUCCGCAUGGUGGAACUAUUAAAGAAUUUCGGUCAUCGAUGGGGAUGCGUUCCAUUAGGUUGUUGGCGGGGUAACGGCCCACCAAGCCUUCGAUGGAUAGGGGUUCUGAGAGGAAGGUCCCCCACAUUGGAACUGAGACACGGACCAGACUCCUACGGGAGGCAGCAUG